GCGGGGUAUUGAAUUCCAUGACAUAGAAGUGGAAAGGGAUUUUGCUUGUUAUUGGAAUUUAAAGGAUACCAAAGUUCUACACAAAUUUGCAUCCUUAGUUUUUUAGAGAGGAAAUAUACUCUUUUCUGCAUCAUAGGAUAAACAUUAGGAUCAUAGCAAAUAUGGGACCUGCAGUAAGAUCAACGCCCAUUUAACUGUGUUGCUGUCUUGUUAUGGUUUAUAACUGGAAAAUAUUCAUAUUAUUGUUGCAUUUAUAUUCCUCAACUUUUUAAUAAAAAGUAACCUUUCUACGACAAAUAGAACUAUAAAGCUGUAUUUUAUAGUUUUUAACUACCUGAGUGCAUAGGGAUUCUGCGAGUCCAUCCAUAUGGCUCUAGAAAUCUAAGUACUAAACUACGACGCGUUGCACACGGGCAACAAAUUCACCGAAUAGUUUCCGAGGUCAACUGAGACAAAUGAUGCGUACGACUUACACAAAAAUAAGGGCAGGGUAAACUGAGACUAUUGCUCAAAAUGUUAUCGCUCUACGGCGAAAUAAAACUGUUUCUGUAGAGAAAUAUGAGUCGGCUCAGUGGCGGACAAAAGGGGCUACUCUGGCCUAUAAAAAUUCAUCCCGCUGUACAGUCGGGGCAUAACAUGUCUUCACAAAACUGCAAUGUAAUGAGGGAGCGACCCUAGGUGAAGUGAGCGUUUCGCCUUCUCUGAAAUAUGUUGAAUCAAAUAUUUUUAAAUAUAUUUCAUAUUCUCUUGCAGAUUAAAGUACUUACAAGUUUUCUUGUGAUUACGACCCAUAUUUGUGCUAUCUCUGCUCAGGAUAUGUUGAAUAAAACGAGCAAAAUAAGCUCUGGGUUCAAGAGAACCAGUGAGCUGUACACACUCCACCGCAAGCACCUUAUCUUCGCGGUUAACAACAUUUGCAUGAAAGGCAGUUGUUGAAUUUUUCUACCGCCUUUUCAAUUGAUCGGAGCUGCUUCGUUAUUUGGUUAUAGAAAUAAGUGAAUACGUAUUUCCAUCUUCCAACACGAGUAUACACAGAUGGAACCGUUAAUCAUACUAAUAUUUUAGAUAUUCUACACUAUUCCAGUGGGCUUGAAUACAAUUUUAAUGCAAUUUUGGUAAUUUUCCGACGUCUGUAAAGGUAACCAUUUUAGUAAUUUUCCGGCAUAGGUAUGUCUAGUAAUUGUAAGGAUUUUUUAUUGAUGCUGUUAAAAAUAAACUAUAACACCAAUAUAAUUUCCCUACUCUGUCUAACCAAACUCUGCUAAAAUGUAACUCCUUCUCGUCACUAAUAUCUGUUCAUAACAGCUGUUCGAAUACAAAACAAGUACAUGGUGUGUACUUGGUUUGUACCACCACAAUACAACAAUAUUCGUAAUAUUUACCUACCAUAUCAAGCCACCCAGAUUCCUCAGGGGACACCUCCAUCAAGGAAUCAGGAGGCCGGUAGUCAUCAUCACUCUCGUCAUCCUCCGAAGAAGUCCUCAGCACCUCCUCCCGCGCUAAAUCUUCAAGGAUCCCACACGGUCUCGGGCACCAUCCUCGAAGUUACGCUGUUUAGAAGGUCCGUAGGGACUUGUAGGGACUUCUUCCAUCGAAGGGGGGGAUACCCGACUACCAAAACACGCAAACAACCAUAUCAAAUGAAAAGCGCAGCUUUUAAGAAUGCAACCCAUCCCUCCUUCCUCUCAUUAAUCGUGACUGCCUCAGGACAUUGAUGGAUUAAUCCUCCACUGGGUCAGAGUCACGCGCAAACUCCCCCAACUCGAAUGAAAGUUUCGGAAUCCAUCGAGUUUGAUAGAUGCCUUCCCUAUCCUGGCGAUCCGUCACCAGGAACCUCAUAUGAGGUCCUACCACAACCCUGUAAAAACAAACAAAUGAUUCCUCGUACAUCCCCGCACCCACCUACUCCAACAGCUUUUCCUAAACCCCCCUCCCCGAACGAAUAAAAACCUCUCGGCUUACUCAAACUCCGGGUCCCUAGGCGACUGGCCCAACUUCAUCUCCUCCGGUAGAUACUCCCGGUAAAGAUUCAAGUUAUCCCGGGGUGGAAACAAGGCUAUUUCUCCCGACCAACUAGGAUGACGGAGGAUGACCCCGCAUCCGGCCUUCAGACACAGCUCCCCGGGAUUAUGUUCCUCCGAGGGCCCAUAUUCCGAGAUCCAGCACGCGAACCGGACACCACGAAUCCUCUCAGUCAAGAAAAACCGCCGCCCCCUUCCCCACGACACACUACAAAACCAUACAACCCUACUUAGGACUACCCCCCAUAAUUGGCUCUCGUAAUAAAAGAUACACGAGUACAUAAAUACAUAAAUACAUCCAAAACGUACAUUUUUCCACCGGUGGAUCCGCCCCCCACACCUCCAGGCCGACCAGACAUGACUCCCCGCCCUUCCGACCCCAAGCACGAAUCCUCGACUUCCAUCAUCAUCUUACAGGCUUAAAAAAAAAACAAUAUCUUCUAAUUUUACUAAUUAAAACUUUUUCACACGUUGUAUUGUUUUCAACCAACAUUUAACAUAUAUUUAUCCUCCUUUGUUAUUUUUAGAUUUACCUCGCCUACGAAAUUUUUUUAAGUAUAAGUUACUGUAGUGUAUGUUUAAAUGUACGUAAUUGUAAGUUUAAAGAUAAGUAUACGUAUUAGUUAGAAUCCACAUAUUUCACUGUGGUAUAUUCUUUAUAUAAUAGCACACCUAAGUUAAGCUAAUUUUUUUGUUACUUUUGAUUUUAUUUAGAAGUAUACCCCACGUCAAUUUUAUUAAUUAUUUUCCUAAUUUGGUCUAUUGUUGGUCCAACCUUUGUUAAGUUUUGCUUCAAAUUCAUAUUUCCCUCUUUGACGCUAUUUUAAUUUUUUUUCUCACCUAAGGGCUGGUAUUUUUCCAAUCCUCAACAAUUGUUAAUUCUAUUUAUUUUAAGUUUCCCUCACUUCAGUCCGCUGUUUUUAUUGUUGUGCAUUUGUUAUAUUAUUCUUAUACUACCUCACCUAAGUUUAAACUGCCAUUAGCUAAGAUUAUUCUAAUUCGCCAAUCAUUAACUCUAAAUUUUCCCUCUCAGGCCUUUCCUCGCCUGAGUUUAACUUUUCGAUAAUUAUUAAUUUUAUUUUGACCUCACCUAGGUUCAUAGAUUUUAUCAUUGUUGAUUUAAAUUUUAAUUUUCACCGCCCCUAAAUUUAGGCCUUUUUUCAUGCUAAUUUUUAAUUCGUGCUCACCUACGAUAAGCAAUAGUUCACGAUAUUAAUAAUUAUAUUCCACCUAAGCAUAAUUAGGUUUACCAAUAUUUGUUACUUUUCCCUUUUUAUUGUCUUUUUUUUUCCUAGCCUAAGAUUAGCUAUUUUUAUUUAAAAAAAAUUUUUUUUAAUUAUUUUUUUGCCUAAGAUUAGCUAUUUUUAAGAUUUAUUUUCAAUUUAAUUUUAAUUAUUUUUUUUCUAGCCUAAGAUUCACUAUUUUUAUUUUUAAAUUCAACUUUAAUUUUCCUCACCUAAGUUUCCAUGACAGUUUGUAAUCUACACUUUUAAUAAUUUUUCCAACCUAAGCUAUCAAUUUUUGUUAUGUAAUUUUGUCAUACAUACUUCCCAGAAUUGUCUAACCAUUUUCCAGCCCUAUGCACUUUGUAUAUUUUAAACAUUUUGCCAUGUCAUUUAGUGCCCCUCGGCAUGGCACAACUCUGUUUCAUGCACUUACACUAAUACGUACGGAAUUUUCUUACCUUACGUUACGAUUGCGGGAUCCACCACUGAAAAAAAACUGGACAGUUGAAAACUUGCAGAAAGUACGCACAAGCACUGCCACCACUGAAAUUUGGACAACUGCAAAAUAGACGCACGAUCACUCACACCACUGACAAUUGGAAACUUGCAGGAACAACGCACAAGCUCUUCCUCCACUGAAAAUUGGCAAAUUACAGAACCAAGACGCUCGACCACUCUCACACAGGAACGGAUGCAGUCGAAUCUUUCAUUUAUAUCCCUAUUUUUCCCAUCGUUUAACUUCCUGGACGAAGGCCCUCGUCCUAGAUCGCAUGGAGUUGAAAAGCGCAGCUUUUAAGAAUGCAACCCAUCCCUCCUUCCUCUCAUUAAUCGUGACUGCCUCAGGACAUUGAUGGAUUAAUGUCGCGAUCAUCAUCGCGAAUCUUCUCUCUCAAGAUACAAGUUCUUAGACACAGGAAUGGAAACCCACUUUCCAUUCCUGUCUAUCUGACCGACGGACCAAUGACGAUAUAGCAUAUAGGUAUACUCAUUAGGUACCAGUUUACUAUAUAAACUGGCAGCAGCCACAGCACUGGGGUCGUUACUGGUAGAACGAGUCCUGACUGCUGCUGGCCUGAUCCAACCUCUUUGCUAUUGUGCGUCUGCAAGAAAUAAAGAGAAUAAAAGUUGAUCUGCUGAAUCUCAACCUGUCUCAAGUCGAGCCAUUUAUUUCCUCAUCUCCUCAUCUCAUCUCAUCUCCAAGUGACCCAGCUUCCUAGCCCCAGCGGGGUCAUUGAAAGGGGCUAAAUCACAUUUAGCACAUUUCACAAACCACCCCUUCCUCCUCUUUUCACGACGGUCAACUGCACAUACCAAAAUCAUUGACCUAUGGUCCAUGAUGAACUGAAGUGUCACAUAUUCCACAUGCUCGGGACGGAAAAUUCACCCGCAGGGGUUCUUCUGGACAGCCUUCCUCAGCCCCACUGAAAAACAUACACAAAUAAAUACCAAGUCACAUAACAACAAAGAUCCCCUACUCUCUUGGCCUCCUGUCCUCCCGUCGGAGUUUAUUUCAGUCGAUACCCCGAUCCAUCACGAGGUAGAGCCUCCAGACAGGUCCUCCGAGGAGCAAAAUAACAUAACCCAAUGAGGGUAUCCACUCAAUUGAACCAUUACGUUCGGGGAACCCUCAACCACGAGGAGACGCGUGGACAAAAACUCCAACUUGGUCCACGUCGGGUCCGGCACCGAUGGAGCACAAGACUCCCACACCGCUACCAAGGCCUCUGGCUCAUCCAUUCCAAUCGCCCAAUCCGGGACUCCCGUUCUCGUUCCAAGGAUUUGCUGCUCUUGAAAUUACAUUAUAUGGAUCAUUAAGCUCAGUAUCGUGUAGUAUGAAAUCGUGCAUACUACAUAGAUUUGAAUCCCAGAAGUCUGGUCGAAACAUGACGUAUGCUGUAUAUAGGUACGUGUUACAGCUAACAUGCAUCAGACCACUUACAUUUCUAGAAUCCUUUAUUUAUUGCUCAAUAAAUGUCGGUGACAAAUUUUUGGUCAAAUUGAAAUUCUGCCGUGCAAUUGAAAUACGCCAAUAAGGAUGUUCAUAUUAUCCCCACAAGUGGCUAACCUCGUUGCACGAAUAGAUGUUGAUGUGAAAUAAUGUACGAGUAAUUGAGAUGUGGUGGAGACUGUUUAUUAAUAAUGUCGAAUUGUGGUAGGCAGGCAGCAGCAUACUGUGAAGUUCCGUUUAUGGGGGGUUGACUGCAGUGAUGGUAGUGAUGAGGCAGAUGAGACGAUCGUCGUCGUUGUUGUGGUGUGUGCGUAAUAAUUGUGAGGCGAGAUGAGACUUGAUUGCACUUUUCUUAUAGAGGUUUUAUUCAUUACUUGUACAACAGGCAGAACUCUGCCUCGCCCAAUAAUAUUGGGAGAGGUAACCUGCAGUAGCACAAAAUACUUCCUCGACCGUCCUCCUUUUAUGGUGGCUGCGCUUUCGCUUAUAUAUCCUAGCAAUACCUAAUUGAUACCUAUGUGUUGACCGAUUAUGAACCGGUUGGCUACGCUGAAUAGAGAUAUCUCAGAUGAGGUUGUGACGAAGCUGUUUUCCAACAUUGUCUCUGGUUUGUAAGAGAUGAUGGAGGUGAGCGGCAUACUAAUUAAGGCAACAUUGUCUCUGGUUUGUAUGAGAUGAUGGAGGUGAGCGGCAUACUAAUUAAGGGGUUUGGCAUUAAUGAAGUUGACCAAACCUGCUCUUUCACAAUACACAAGGUUACCAUUGUAUCAAUUCUUGGUCAGUUGUUGGACACCUUUCGUUCCUUUUCCGUUGCUUCUAUUUGGAACACAUGUUGAAUCUAGAUGUAAAUUAAGCAAUGGGAUGGGCAGAGAAACCACUAGUUCUGAACAUCUUUUAUUGAAGCUUAACUCAAAACUACAACCCUAUACAAAGUAGUUAAUAAUUUGCAUAACUUAAUGACGUUUAAAUCAGUUCGCAAUUGUAACUGCGAAACACUGGACAAUGUUUGCGAACAUAGAAUUUGAGUAUACGAAAAACGUGACGGUGCUUUCGUACAAUAAUGGCGGUAUACACAAAUGUGCGAUGAAGGUAACUAACUAAAAUUUUUACCCUAUUACUGAAGUGUUCCCCUGGGGGAGAAAUCAACGUAAUGUUUGCAAAAACACGGGAACUCGAGAGGUAGGUUGGGAACCCAGUAGGCGUAGGGCCGACCCCGGGUUAUGUAGAAAGUCAUCCCCGGUCCGUAAUUAACCCUAACACACGUCCAAAAACCCAAGUUGAAUUAAGUGGAAAACACUUCAAAGUUCCACCUGAAAUCAAUUUAAAACAAUCCGCACCUAAGUUAGCAUAAUUGAAAACCACAGAAAAGGUCGGCAAUUACAUUUACUAUACCAGGAAAUUACAUGGUAGCCAUAGAAGCCAGGUUUUUGGUUACAAACUUCCCAAUAAAUAAUGAAAAAAAUGGGAAUAAAUCAAUAACAUAUAUGCGCUAAUUUUAAGAAUAUUUUAAAUUAAGCUCACCUUAAUUUGAAUAUAGUGUUCUAUAACACUACUUGGUUUUAUGCACAUUGUGAAGUCAACCAAAGAAAUCUAGACUACAUGAAAAUUCUACAAUUUCCAAACUUUGUUAGAACACGGAUUUGAUAAAGAAAACUUUUCAUAAUUAAAGCAUCCCUUCCUUUUGAAAGACAUAGCUUAAACCUGCUUGUAUGUAAAUGUUGACCACAUCAUUGUAUGAUGUUGAGUCCUACACUUUCUCAUUUAUGGCAAUAUGAGCACGCAAAUUUGGAUGUGCAUUUCUUGUUAGGCUGAGUUCCAAGGCAAUUAUGCAACGAUUAAUUCUUCAAAGCCUUGAAGUUCAUGCCUUGCUUCUUUUCAUAAACCAAAACGUUAAUGCAAGCCGUACAUAUAUAAGGAACUUACUCUCCUUAUAAUCCAUGAUAAUAACAGAUGUUAGGUAAUGAAAUGUGCUAAAUGUAAUUUAGCCCUUUCGAUGACCCCACAAUGGCCAGGGAGCUGGGUCACUUAGAGAUGAGAUGAGGGGAGGAGAAGAUGCGAAAUGAAUGGUCUCGACUUGAGAGAUAUGUUGAGAAUUAAUAGAUCGACUUUUAUGCUCUUACUCAUGCACAAUUAUAAUGUUAUUGCGGCAGGCCAGCAGCAACAGUCAAGAAACUUGUCCUACAACGACAACCCCUUGUACUGUGGCUGUUGCCCCUUUAUAUAGUAAACAUGUACCUAUAAGAAUACCUACAAACUAUAUCGUUACUGGUCCGUCGGUCCGAUAGACAAGUCUUAGAAAGUGGGAUGUGAGAUGACUUGUAACUUGUGAGAGAUGUGACAUUAAUCACUUGAUGCCCUGAGGAAAUCAUGAUUAAUGAGAAGAAAGAUGUGAAUACUGAUGAGGUUCACCUAUUAUGUCAAAAGUUGCACUUUUCAGUAACCUUGGCUAGCCCGCCUUAGGUUUUUUUAGGUUGUGACUAGUUGUGAGAUUUAGAACUGGUAUUUCAUUCAUCCAAUUGAAGUCAACUAAUCGUGGAUCGGCGACCACACUGACGUGACGAUUGUAAAAUGUUCAAUCAGCAAUUUUCAAUUUGUACACUCUGUUUGUCGCAAAUCCGUAACCAAUUGUUGAAAUUAUCUACACAGCUUUUCAAUUGAUGGAAUCUGCGUCGUUAUUUGGUCCUAGGAAUCAGUAAAAUUAGGAGUUAAAAAUUAUCUACAUAUAACACCAACACGAUUUCCUGGCAAGAGGUAUAUUGGGGAAGUUAUCGCCAAUCGGGUGGGUGAAAUACGACAGUAUAACCGAAGCCCAAACUGUAAGCAGUCGAUGUUAGGUUGGCCUGAAUCUCAUCAAAACCCAAGUGGAUAAAAAUUGGGUCAAAUGUGAUUCUUUAUUCGUCGACCCUGCCUGAGUGCUUCAAACAAACCAGUUACCAUUAAAGCUACAAACCUCCAUCAUUUAAUCCUGUUUCUGGCUAAAUACGUUCGAAUGCCACUUUCUCGAGUGGUAAGUACCCCGGCGCGGGAGACCGGGGUAUUCCCCGGCGGGGGACCAACGUGGACAAUGUGCGGAAUUCCCCUUGUAUGAAUGACGACAGAUUAUUGAUUAUCUGUGCGGAUGUGUGUGUAUGAAUCGUACAAGGUAAUCUGCCAACCACGUUUGGCCCGUCACGAAGAUUUACCGGUACCCGCGUUUGCACGAGAAAAGAGAAAAUGCAUACACUGAUGUGUAGUUUGUCUCUGAUUUAUUCAACAAAUUUGGUGUUUUUACAUACAUAUAUACCCGGAAAAUAAUAAAAGGGAAUUAUAUAGCAAACUAUUUGGUAUGUACUUGGCUAUACAUUUUCACUGGAUAUAUGAAACAAAUUGGCUGCUAAAUUAAAACUUUUAAACAGAGAUCCAAAUUAAAACUUUUAAAUCUAAAAUUAAAUUUGUUUUCAUUUAGCAUCGAGUAAAAUUACUGAUGCUACAAGUCAGACUGAAUCGUAAGCCGAUUUUUAUUGUAAAUUCGGUCUAUUCGACUUCCGAUGCCACUGAUCACCAGACACAUAAUUGAAUCGCGGUGAAAAUCCCUCCUGAAUAAUGAUAAUUAAGAAAAGAAUCAUGUUCCUCAGGCAGGUUGCCUAUCCUAACUCCAUUCUCACUCAGGAGACCCGUGUAGGAUAGCCACCUCCACGUUAGGUACCCAUUACGCGUAGUGAGUAUCGCCCACACCCCGGCUGAGGUAGAAAGUCAUGUUGAACCCAAACUUCCAACAAAACAAAACAAACCACAGCACUUGAAUAAGAUGUAUAAAUACUUACUACAUGUCCGGAAAUUCGGCUCCGGAGUUACCGAACUAGGAGGAGGUGGACAGAGUGAUGACAUCCUUCUAAAAUUAAAAUUAAUUAAAAAUAAAGUAAAAUUUAUAUAUACGUACAUAGCACAAAAUAUACAGGCAAGGCAGAAGUAAUAACUGUAUGAAUCACUAACUAUACCGCUUUUAUUAUUUCAUAACAAGGGUGUUGUUUUGAAGUAUAAUUUACCCAAAAUAUUAUUCCUUUCUCCCUCUCUCCCAAACAAUACAUACUCCAUAAAGUGUCCCACUACCCAUUAAUUGAGAUAGCCAAGCCAGCGGCGGUAGCACAUUAUAGUCUAAUUGUCGAAUUCUUACCUUAUGUUAAUGCAAUUUUGUGAAAUGACAAUUAUAGUUCCGAACAGAUCAGAUAAUUCAGAUCAGAUAUCAGAUCAGAUCAGAUAAUUGCCAGAUCAGAUACCAAAAAUAUCUGAUCUGAUUAAAAAAUCAGAUAACAGAUCAGAUCAGAUAGUCAGUCGUAAAAUCAGAUAUCUGAUCUGAAUUUUUUUCAGACAUCUGAUAUCUGUUCAGAUAUCUGAUUUUUGGUAAUUUUCUGAUUCAAUCGAGUCAAAACCGCAAGUUUUAACAGAAAAACUGCGUUUAUAAUGUUUGUUAAUACCGUGCAGCUAUAAUAAACUUGCAAAUAGACCAAAUUCUUGGUGUUUCCGUUGAUUUAAAUAUCCAGACUUCGAAUAAAAAUUUCGAAUAAUACAACUGAAAUAAUCACAAAAAUUCUAGAGUUAGACUGAGGUGAUCGGGUUAUCUUAAAAUCAUCGAGGCAAUUAACCACAAAAUUCUGAUGGAUUUACUUCAGAUUAGUAACAGUCGUGAUUUGCUAGAGGAUAUAAUUAUUUUGAUGCUUGGGUAAUUUAAUGUAAAAUUAUUUUAUGAUAUUUCGACCUCAAAUAAUAAUAUUCUUUACUAGUAACUGCUUUACUAUACCUUUAUCAAUGUGUGAAAAUAAAAAGAAGCAAAUAAAUAAUUUAACCUGAAACGUUUUUAGUAGUGUUUGCAAUAUUGACAAUUCUAUUUCAGAUAUCUGAUAUCUGAACAGAUAAAUCAGAUAUCUGAAUGUUCAGAUCAGAUAUGAGAUUUAUCUGAUCUGAAAAUUUCAGAUCAGAUCAGAUAACGAUUUUGCAUAUCUGAAAUUUUCAGAUCAGAUCAGAUAUCAGAUCAGAUACACGAUUAUCUGAUCUGUUCGGAACUAUAAUGAUAAUGCACGAAUAGACAUACAAAGGUAUACGAAUGAACAACAACUACUGCAUGAAGAAAUCUUGCAUUUUUCAUUUCGGACGUAGCCCACGCACUAUCAAAUUGGGAUGCUGUGAAGAUUUCAGUGGUAGUACUGUCCCCCACUUUGAGGGGUGAAUAUUUACAUAUAAGGGGAUUAUUAAUGGACGGUGAUUUGUUGUACAUUAAUGUAGGAUCUUGUAAUAUUAAAUAUCAAAAUAACAACAAAUAUGAUUUUUCAUGAUUAAACAAUUUUUAUGGAUUAAAUCAAUGGUAAAAUGAUUUUUCACAAAUUAUUUAUGUAAUCGGAUUGUGUAAAUUGGUUUCUAGUUUUCAAGUUCAGUACAACUUCUAGUCAAACGCGGCAGGAAAACUAGGUCCUGAAUUUGUUCGGAAAUGACUCGUUUUGGGUUCAGCUUGACUUUCUUCAAUGACUUACAUAGGGCAGUACGUUGAAAUAAAAAAAAUCAACCAAUCAAUCAAUCAACCGUAUGAUAUUUUCUCCUUUAAAUGAAGCUCUUGCACCGAAAGUUCCAAUUCGUAACCACUUUCCGGGUAGAAAAUCUAACCCAAAAUAUUUAAAUAUUGAUUAUUAUUAACUACUAAAAUUAAUUUUACCCUUUAGAAAAAUAACUACACUCUAAAUUCUAUAUUAAGAAAACUAUGCUAAAUCCAGAGUGAAGUAAAUUUGAUGAAGGAUAAAAUUUACUAUGGAUUUUGUACAAGUUCCUUAAUCUAAAAUUCAGAGGUUUCAAUAGGGUAACAUAAUUUUUAAGAUAGUGUAAAAUUACAAGUGCAUACAUAAAUUAAU